UUCACAUUAAGGUUCCCUUGUCUUUAAGGAUUAUGAAUAUCGGAGAUGCAGACUUCUAGGCCAUGCAAGUAAUUUUCCCAGUUAAUUGGGAUACAUACUUUCCACAUUCUUGUGGUAAUAUCAUAAUUCUUCUCUUAUUUCUUCUUAAUUUCAAAGGGAAUUGCAGUGGAGUUGUGGUACUGACCUUGGGGGCUGUGUAUGUAAUAUUCCAAGAGGAUGGGAUGACAGAAAUUCCUGGUAGAGGUCAGAAUGGCCGUGCAGAGAUGAUAGUAACGGAUGCUGUUGAUCUUGGAAUGAUUUGAUGUGAUUCAUUUUUUUCUGGCAAGAAGUAAAUGACUGACACUGUCAGUAACUAUGAAGCACUCACUGGAUAAAGCUUUUCUUUUGUCUCCUCUCUUUGGCAAACUCAUUUUCCUCUCUGAAAAGCCAUUGUUAAAGAGCAUUCUUCUUGAUUUGCUAGUUGAGCAGCUUAAUUCUCUGUGGCCAAGAACUUGUUGGGUAUUGCCAUUGCUUAUUUCUGAAAGUUGGCAAUAAGGGAAUUUGCAGCUUUUCAGCUUUGAUAAAUAUCCUAGUACUAAUCCUUCAAUAUAUUACAAUAUUUUUUCUUUUUAAUAUGAAAUAAUACAUAUAUAUAGUAGAUAUACUAUUUAAAUACUUAAGAUUCCAAAUCCUACAUUUAAGCACAUGCAUUUAACUUAGAGUUUGACAUGAUAUUUUAUGAUCAUCUGCCUCCUUUGUUUUCAAGAUGUUUCUAAAAAUAAUUCCAAAAAAUUACAUUUCUUGGAGGAAGAGAAGUCUUGGAAACCAUACUGACUUCAUGAAAUUCUGUAGGAGACUGAGAAAUCUCAGCAUUCUCUGUAUGUUGUGCCUAUCCAUAAGCAGUUGAAAUAAAUAGUGAAAUUUGCC
rnacentral:lncRNA from 1 species